rnacentral:rRNA from 1 species
GCCGUAUUUUUUAUAAUUUAAAGUCUAACCUGCCAAAUGAGGUAUUUAAUGGCCGCGGUAAUUUGACCGUGCAAAGGUAGCAUAAUCAUUAGUUUUUUAAUUGAAAGCUGGAAUGAACGGUUGGACGAGAAAAUAACUGUCUCAAUUUAAUUUAAUUAGAAUUUUUUUUUUAAGUAAAAAAGCUUACAUAAUUUUAAAAGACGAGAAGACCCUAUAGAAUUUUAUACAAAAAUAUAUUUAUUAUUUUUAGAAUUUUUAUUAGUUUAUGUAUUAUGUAUUUUGUUGGGGUGACAGAAAAAUUUAAUAAACUUUUUUUUUAUCAAUCCAUUAAUUUAUGAAUUAUUGAUCCAUUUUUUAUGAUUAUAAGAUUAAAUUACCUUAGGGAUAACAGCGUAAUUUUUUUUUAGAGUUCUAAUCAAAAAAAGAGUUUGCGACCUCGAUGUUGGAUUAAAAUAAACUUUUGGUGUAGGGGCUAAAAAGUUGUGUGUGUUACCCUUUAAAAUUUUCACAAGAUCUGAGU